rnacentral:rRNA from 1 species
UGGCGGACGGGUGAGUAACGCGUAAAGAACUUGCCCUUUAGACUGGGAUAGCAGAGGGAAACUUCUGAUAAUACUGGAUAAGUUAGUAUAUCGCAUGAUAUGCAAAUGAAAGCUACGGCACUAAAGGAGAGCUUUGCGUCCUAUUAGCUAGUUGGUAAGGUAAGAGCUUACCAAGGCGAUGAUAGGUAGCCGGCCUGAGAGGGUGGACGGCCACAAGGGGACUGAGAUACGGCCCUUACUCCUACGGGAGGCAGCAGUA